rnacentral:rRNA from 1 species
UACGAAGGGGGCUAGCGUUGCUCGGAAUCACUGGGCGUAAAGGGUGCGUAGGCGGGUCUUUUAAGUCAGGGGUGAAAUCCUGGAGCUCAACUCCAGAACUGCCUUUGAUACUGAAGAUCUUGAGUUCGGGAGAGGUGAGUGGAACUGCGAGUGUAGAGGUGAAAUUCGUAGAUAUUCGCAAGAACACCAGUGGCGAAGGCGGCUCACUGGACCGGCAUUGACGCUGAGGUGCGAAAGCGUGGGGAGCAAACAGG